GCUGGGCGUGGUGGCGGGUGCCUGUAAUCCCAGCUACUAGGGAGGCUGAGGUAGGAGACUCGCUUGAACCUGGGAGACAGAGAUUGCAGUGAGCUGAGAUUGUGCCACUGCACUCUAGCCCAGGCAACAGUGCGAGACUCCAUCUCAA
rnacentral:SRP_RNA from 1 species